UACGAAGGGGGCCAGCGUUGUUCGGAAUCACUGGGCGUAAAGCGCACGUAGGCGGAUCUUUAAGUCAGGGGUGAAAUCCCGAGGCUCAACCUCGGAACUGCCUUUGAUACUGGGGAUCUCGAGUCCGGGAGAGGUGAGUGGAACUGCGAGUGUAGAGGUGAAAUUCGUAGAUAUUCGCAAGAACACCAGUGGCGAAGGCGGCUCACUGGCCCGGAACUGACGCUGAGGUGCGAAAGCGUGGGGAGCAAACAGGG
rnacentral:rRNA from 1 species